rnacentral:rRNA from 1 species
AUCUAAGUAGCCGGAGGAAGAGAAAUCAAACGAGAUGCCCACAGUAGCGGCGAGCGAAGAGGGCAGAGCCUAAACCAGUCAUCUUCGGAUGGUUGGGGUUACGGACCUGCAUCAACCGAGUCCUACCUAGUCGAAUUACCUGGAAAGGUAAGCCAGAGAGCGUAAGAGCCGCGUAGGUGAAAGGAGGGACGAGGGGGCAGGAAUCCAGAGUACCACGAAGCACGAGGAAUUUUGUGGGAAGUCGGGGGGACCACCCUCCAAGGCUAAACACUUCUUAGUGACCGAUAGCGCAUAGUACCGUGAGGGAAAGGUGAAAAGAACCGCGGGAGCGGAGUGAAAGAGAACCUGAAACCGUAUGUCUACAAGCAGUCGGAGCGCAAGCGACGGCGUGCCUAUUGAAGAAUGAGCCAACGAGUUACGGGCACCAGCGAGGUUAAGCAGGAAAUGCGGAGCCGGAGCGAAAGCGAGUCUAAACAGGGCGAAUAGUUGGUGUUCGUAGACCCGAAACUGUAGUGAUCUACCCAUGAUCAGGUUGAAGCGCAGGUAAAAAUGCGUGGAGGACCGAACCGGUGAGCGUUGAAAAGCUUUCGGAUGAAUCGUGGGUAGCGGUGAAAUUCCAAUCGAACGCAGAGAUAGCUGGUUCUCCUCGAAAUAGCUUUAGGGCUAGCCUCAAGCAGUAAGCAUAGGCGGUAGAGCACUGAUCGGGAUAGGGUCCGUAAAGGAUACCGAACCCUGUCAAACUACGAAUGGUUAUGCUGCAGAGCUUGGGAGUCAGACUACGAGAGAUAAGUCCCGUUGUCAAAAGGGAAACAGCCCAGACCGUCAGCUAAGGUCCCCAAUGCCAUACUAAGUGGAAAAGGAUGUGGGGUCUCAUAAACAACCAGGAUGUUGGCUCAGAAGCAGCCACCAUUUAAAGAGUGCGUAAUAGCUCACUGGUCGAGAGGCCCUGCGCCGAAGAUUCCCGGGGCUAAAGUAUGGAACCGAAGCUACGGAUGCGGUACUUGUACCGCGUGGUAGAGGAGCGUUCCCAUUGGGUUGAAGUCGUCCUGGAAGGGACGGUGGACUGGUGGGAAGUGAGAAUGUUGGCAUGAGUAGCGAAAAGAUAGGUGAGAAUCCUAUCCACCGAAAGCAUAAGGAUUCCUGAGCAACGAUCGUCGUCUCAGGGUAAGUCGGGACCUAAUCCGAGGCAUGGAGCGUAGGAGAUGGACAACUGGUUGAUAUUCCAGUACCGGCAGCAAUCGUUUGAACGAUGGAGUGACGCAGGAAGGCAGGUCCGCGCGAGAAUGGUAGAUCGCGUACAAGCGUGCAGGCUGGUGCACAGGCAAAUCCGUGUACUGAGGCUGAGGCGUGAUGUGGAGGGAACUUGUUCCCGAAGGGAUUGAGCCUACGCUGCCGAGAAAAGCUUCUAGUGAGAAAGCUGCCGCCCGUACCGUAAACCGACACAGGUAUGCGGGGAGAGAAUCCUAAGGUGCGCGGGAGAACCCUCGUUAAGGAACUCGGCAAAAUGUACCCGUAACUUCGGGAUAAGGGUAGCCACAGUGGUGAAGGGACUUGCUCCUGGAGCCUAGUGUGGUCGCAGAGAAGAGGCCCAAGCGACUGUUAACCAGAAACACAGGUGCCUGCGAAAGAGAAAUCUGAUGUAUAGGUGCUGACACCUGCCCAGUGCUGGAAGGUUAAAGAAGGAUGUCCGGGUUCGACCCAAAGCAUUUGACUGAAGCCCCAGUGAACGGCGGCCGUAACUAUAACGGUCCUAAGGUAGCGAAAUUCCUUGUCGGGUAAGUUCCGACCCGCACGAAAGGUGUAACGAUUUGGGCACUGUCUCAACGAGGGACCCGGUGAAAUUGAAAUACCUGUGAAGAUGCAGGUUACCCGCGACUGGACAGAAAGACCCCAUGGAGCUUUACUGUAACCUAAUAUUGGGUUCUGAUAUUCGACGCACAGGAUAGGUGGGAGGCUUGGAGCAUGGUCCUCUGGGAUCAUGGGAGCCGCCGUUGGGAUACCACCCUUCGAAUAUCGGGAUUCUAACCGCAGGAGCAACGAUCCUCGGGACAGUGUUAGGCGGGCAGUUUGACUGGGGCGGUCGCCUCCUAAAGAGUAACGGAGGCGCCCAAAGGUUCCCUCAGCGCGGACGGAAACCGCGCGACGAGUGUAAAGGCAGAAGGGAGCUUGACUGCGAGCCAAACACGGCGAGCAGGUACGAAAGUAGGGCUUAGUGAUCCGGUG